rnacentral:rRNA from 1 species
UACGUAGGUGGCAAGCGUUGUUCGGAAUUAUUGGGCGUAAAGGGCGCGUAGGCGGUUUGUUAAGUCGGUUGUGAAAGCCCGGGGCUCAACCCCGGAGGGUCGACCGAUACUGGCAGGCUAGAGUACAGAAGAGGUAGCUGGAAUUCCCGGUGUAGCGGUGAAAUGCGUAGAGAUCCGGAGGAACCCCAGAGGCGAAGGCGGCGUCCUGGCUCGCAUCUGACGCUCAGACACGACAGCAUGGGGAGCGAACGGG